CUAGCAGCAGAAUUUCAGCAUUUGCUACUUACUGGUAGAGAAGAAAAAUUCCACAGAACUGCCAGUACAGCAUUCAGUUUACAAAGAAGAUUAAAAGAAAAUACGGAGCUAACAUCAUUUGCAUCCACUGGGAACCUUCUCUGAACUGUUCUUCAGGAAUGGGUCAUUGCACAUAUAGCCAUCUGUAAUGUGUGAUCAUUUUGUGACAGUCUGAUUAAACAGAAGUGAACCACUG